UACGAAGGGGGCUAGCGUUGCUCGGAAUUACUGGGCGUAAAGGGAGCGUAGGCGGAUAGUUUAGUCAGAGGUGAAAUCCCGGGGCUCAACCUCGGAACUGCCUUUGAUACUGGCUAUCUUGAGUAUGGGAGAGGUGUGUGGAACUCCGAGUGUAGAGGUGAAAUUCGUAGAUAUUCGGAAGAACACCAGUGGCGAAGGCGACACACUGGCCCAUUACUGACGCUGAGGCUCGAAAGCGCUGGGGAGCAAACAGG
rnacentral:rRNA from 1 species